GUGGUUGUGCAUAUGCUCUUACAA
rnacentral:piRNA from 1 species